rnacentral:tRNA from 1 species
GCAUCGAUGGUUCAGUGGUAGAAUGCUCGCCUGCCAAACAGUUAAGCAGAACGCGGGCGGCCCGGGUUCGAUUCCCGGUCGAUGCA